UACAGAGGUCCCGAGCGUUGUUCGGAUUCAUUGGGCGUAAAGGGUGCGUAGGCGGUCUGCUAAGUUUGAUGUGAAAUCCCGGGGCUCAACCCUGGAAUGGCAUUGAAUACUGGCGGACUAGAGUACCGGAGAGGAAACUGGAAUUUACGGUGUAGCAGUGAAAUGCGUAGAGAUCGUAAGGAGGACCAGUGGCGAAGGCGAGUUUCUGGACGGUAACUGACGCUGAGGCACGAAGGCCAGGGGAGCAAACGGG
rnacentral:rRNA from 1 species